rnacentral:rRNA from 1 species
UGGGGAAUUUUGGACAAUGGGCGCAAGCCUGAUCCAGCCAUACCGCGUGAGUGAAGAAGGCCUUCGGGUUGUAAAGCUCUUUCAGACGGAAAGAAACGGUUACGGCUAAUACCCGUGACUAAUGACGGUACCGUAAGAAGAAGCACCGGCUAACUACGUGCCAGCAGCCGCGGUAAUACGUAGGGUGCGAGCGUUAAUCGGAAUUACUGGGCGUAAAGCGUGCGCAGGCGGUUUGGUAAGACAGAUGUGAAAUCCCCGGGCUUAACCUGGGAACUGCAUUUGUGACUGCCAGACUAGAGUGUAGCAGAGGGGGGUAGAAUUCCACGUGUAGCAGUGAAAUGCGUAGAUAUGUGGAGGAAUACCGAUGGCGAAGGCAGCCCCCUGGGCCUGUACCGACGCUCAUGCACGAAAGCGUGGGGAGCAAACAGGAUUAGAUACCCACGUAGUCCCUGAGCGGGCUGGCAAGGCGCAU